rnacentral:rRNA from 1 species
CGCGGGAUUAGAGUUUGAUCCUGGCUCAGAUUGAACGCUGGCGGUACGCUUAACACAUGCAAGUCGAGCGGUAACAGAAAUAGCUUGCUAUUUGCUGACGAGCGGCGGACGGGUGAGUAAUGCUUGGGAAUAUGCCUUAUGGUGGGGGACAACAGUUGGAAACGACUGCUAAUACCGCAUAAUGUCUACGGACCAAAGGGGGGGAUCUUCGGACCUCUCGCCAUUUGAUUAGCCCAAGUGAGAUUAGCUAGUUGGUAAGGUAAUGGCUUACCAAGGCGACGAUCUCUAGCUGGUUUGAGAGGAUGAUCAGCCACACUGGGACUGAGACACGGCCCAGACUCCUACGGGAGGCAGCAGUGGGGAAUAUUGCACAAUGGGGGAAACCCUGAUGCAGCCAUGCCGCGUGUGUGAAGAAGGCCUUCGGGUUGUAAAGCACUUUCAGUUGUGAGGAAAGGUGUGUAGUUAACAGCUGCAUACUGUGACGUUAACAACAGAAGAAGCACCGGCUAACUUCGUGCCAGCAGCCGCGGUAAUACGAGGGGUGCAAGCGUUAAUCGGAAUUACUGGGCGUAAAGCGUUCGUAGGCGGUUGAAUAAGCAAGAUGUGAAAGCCCAGGGCUCAACCUUGGAACUGCAUUUUGAACUGUUCGACUAGAGUACUGUAGAGGGGGGUAGAAUUUCA